UACAGAGGUCUCAAGCGUUGUUCGGAUUCAUUGGGCGUAAAGGGUGCGUAGGCGGCGCGGUAAGUCGGGUGUGAAAUCUCGGAGCUUAACUCCGAAACUGCAUUCGAUACUGCCGUGCUUGAGGACUGGAGAGGAGACUGGAAUUUACGGUGUAGCGGUGAAAUGCGUAGAUAAUCGUAAGGAAGACCAGUGGCGAAGGCGGGUCUCUGGACAGCUCCGUGACGCUGAGCACGAAGGCCAGGGGAGCAAACGGG
rnacentral:rRNA from 1 species